rnacentral:lncRNA from 1 species
AUGCUGUUGGCCGCCCCGUCUGGGCCCGAACCCGGCUCCGCCUUCUGGCGGCCCGGUGGGCGCCCGGAGGGUUUGGGUCGGCCUUGCGGUGCGUGUGGGGGGAAAAGCGGGUUCCGGGGGCUCUGGCCGCGUGCGACUGGGCGUGGCGGUGGGGGAGCCGCAGGGAUCGCUGAAGGGGCCUGGUCGGCCGCUCCAGGUGCCACGCGGGGCCGCCUCCGUGCUCGGAGGCUGCUGGCGGUGAGACCCCCGCGUGCGUCCUGGUGGCGGUCGGCCGCGCCGGAGGUGUCCCCAGCGCCCUUGGCCGCCUGCCUCGCCCGGCGUCUCGUCUCAUCCCGGCCCGCUCUUCCGCAUCGGGUCGGCGCGCAACCCCAACCGGGUGCGCCUCGCUUCCCGGGCCUGCUGCGGCCCUCCCCCGAGGCGUGUGGUCUCGGGCGUUGUCGGCGUCGUGGGGGGGGGGGGGGGAGGCCUGUCCUCUCCCCGCGUGGCGUCGCCCCGUUCGGCGCGUGCGUGCGCCCGAGUGCGGCCCGGUGGUCCCUCCCGGGCAGGUGUUCGUGCGAUGUGUGUGAAGGUCGACCUCCGCCUGGCCGGUCGCUCGCCCUUCCCCCCCCUGGGUCGGGGGUGGGGCCCGGUCCGGGCCCUCGGCCCCGGUCCCGGUCCCCGUCUCGGGCGGGGCGGGCGCGCCAGCCGGCUUCGGUCGCCUUCCCUUUGGCCGUCGAGUGGCGUGCGCCACCCCUACGCCCACGCCCGCCGGCGGGGCUCGGAGCCGGGCCUCGGCCGGGCCCCGGGCCUCGACCGGAGAGCGUGCGCGAGCGCUACGGCCGCACGGGCGCGACUGUCCCCGGGCCGGGCACCGCGGUCCGCCUCUCGCUCGCUGCCCGAACGUCGGGGCCGCCCGCGAGUGGGGAAACGCCGUCCCCACCUCGCUGCCGCCCGCGCGCGCAUGCGCGUAGUCGCCGACUUCCUCGCGGCUGCCGGGCGCGGAUCGGGCGGUCCGCCUCCUCGCACGCGGGGCGCGCGAGGGGUGAGGGUCAGCGAGCCCGUCGCGGGGUUGUGUGCGUUGGGUGGGUGCGCGUGCGCGCGCGUGAGUGGAUGGGGGUCCGGCUUGCUGCGCCCCGCCCUCCCGCCGCGCCCCCUCGCCCGCCCCAUGCCCCGCGCUCGCUCGCUCGGCUCUCCGCCUCUCGCCCGCCCGGCAACCCCUCUCGCUUGCGGGACGCCGGGCCCAUCCUCGCGAGGUCCCCCGGCCUCGGUCGGGACCUCGCCGCGCUCUACCUACCUGGUUGA